AUUGAACGCUGGCGGCAGGCCUAACACAUGCAAGUCGAACGAGUGGCGGACGGGUGAGUAAUGUCUGGGAAACUGCCCGAUGGAGGGGGCUAACUACUGGAACCGGUAGCUAAUACCGCAUACCAUCCGAUGUUCCCAGAUUGGAUUAGCUAGUAGGUGGGGUAACGGCUCACCUAGGCGACGAUCCCUAGAUGGUCUGAGAGGAUGACCAGCCACACGGGAACUGAGACACGGUCCAGACUCCUACGGGAGGCAGCAGUGGGGAAUAUUGCACAAUGGGCGCAAGCCUGAUGCAGCCAUGCCGCGUGUAUGAAGAAGGCCUUCGGGUUGUAAAGUACUUUCAGCGAGGAGGCGUUACUCGCAGAAGAAGCACCGGCUAACUCCGUGCCAGCAACCGCGGUAAUAC
rnacentral:rRNA from 1 species